ACCAUCGCCCUUAAGUUGCUUUGGGUUUUACGGUUUUACUUCCAACCUGGCAUAUAAAUGCACUUAGUAUCCAAAGUUUUUUGUCAAUAACUGGUGAUCAGACUUUCAAACGAACACGUUUUUAAGGGCUGAGAAGGUGAAAGUUAGAAGUCUGCAGACUGCAACGUAAGUCAAUUUUCAACACAUGGUUUUCUGAAUAUAUUUAGUUUUCGAUUGAAAUGAGAAUAAACUGAACUUAUAGAUAUGUUGAAAACUAACUAUAUUAUAUUUUAAAUGUUCGCUAAACGCAAGUGAAGCAAUAAUCUAUAGAUGCAAAUAUACUUUAUAUUUUG